rnacentral:rRNA from 1 species
ACGGAGGGUGCAAGCGUUAAUCGGAAUAACUGGGCGUAAAGGGCAUGCAGGCGGUCAUGCAAGCAGGAUGUGAAACCCCCGGGCUUAACCUGGGAACUGCAUUCUGAACUACAUGACUAGAGUAUUGCAGGGGGAGACGGAAUUCCAGGUGUAGCGGUGGAAUGCGUAGAUAUCUGGAAGAACACCAAAGGCGAAGGCAGUCUCCUGGGCAAAUACUGACGCUCAUAUGCGAAAGCGUGGGUAGCAAACAG